rnacentral:piRNA from 1 species
UGCAAAUUGCACAUCUCGGUAGUA